GUGCUCAUUUUAGCAGCACAUAUACUAAAAUUGGAAUGAUACAGAGAAGAUUAAUAUUGUCCUUGCAAGGAUGACAUGCAAAUGCAUGAAGCAUUUAUAUUUUUA
ensembl:snRNA U6 U6 spliceosomal RNA